AAUACAACAAAAGUUCAAUCCCGAGUUUGCCCAGUACUAGUAGCUCUCUCUUCCCAGUAAAGGCAGCCUCUCGCCCAGUACAAUUUGCGGCCUUGCAACCUCAACAAAUUUGGUUUGAGGGAGCUGAAUUCAACAUAUUCGCUGUGUUUGUGUCUUUGAGUAAUACCCGGUCUCCACAAUAUCUUCUCAAUAAAAGAGAGGAGGCAUCGACUUUCAGUCCUUGUUUUUUGUGACUGUGUUCACUACUUCACUCUAUUCAGUGAAAUAUUUUAUGGAAUUAUAAUCCUAUCCUUAUAGAUGUAGUUGCAAAAUUUUGCAAUACUAGUGCAAAGAACUAUGCCUACUCUUCAUCAAAGGCAACAACAACAGAGCAACCCAACAAAGUUCCCCAUCUCCCCUCGUUUCUAUGGCGUUCAACCAAGAUCCAUCUCUCUGGUUAGCUCAACCGGUCUCUUAAUUUUAUUGUUUCUCAUGAUUUUGUUUGGGAUCUUGUUCCCAUGGCUGGGCCUUCCAAAAAGCCUCUUUUCUGGUAAUAACAGUUCUCUCUCAAAGUGGAAGGAUUAUACCUUGGCUCAAGCUGUGGCUUUUGUUGGAAAGAAUGGUGGCACAGUUAUAGUUUGUGCAGUGAGCAAGCCCUAUUUACCCUUCCUAAGCAAUUGGGUCAUCAGCAUUUCAAGGCAAAAGCAUCAAGAUAAAGUCUUGGUUAUAGCUGAGGACUAUGCCACCCUUUAUGAGGUGAAUCGGAGAUGGCCUGGUCACGCGGUGCUUGUACCCCCUGCCCCUGAUUCUCAGACUGCCCAUAAGUUUGGAUCUCAGGGAUUCUUCAAUUUUACUUCACGCAGACCUCAGCACCUGCUACAGAUAUUGGAGCUUGGGUUUAAUGCACUGUACAAUGAUGUAGAUAUGGUCUGGAUGGCUGAUCCCUUCCCGUACUUCAAGGGGAACCAUGAUGUUUACUUCACAGAUGAUAUGGCUGCGGUCAAACCCCCGAACCACUCCCAUGAUUUGCCAGCACCAGGAAAGAAAGGACGCACUUACAUUUGCAGCUGCAUGAUAUUUUUGAGGCCUACACCUGGAGCAAAACUAGUCAUGAAGAAAUGGAUUGAAGAGCUCCAAGUCCAACCUUGGUCGACCAAAACAAAGACAAACGACCAGCCUGCUUUCAAUUGGGCAUUAAAUAAAACUGCUGGCCAGGUUGAUCUCUAUCUGCUACCCCAGACUGGAUUCCCAUCAGGGGGUCUCUACUUCAAAAAUCAGACUUGGGUCGACGAAACCAAAGGCAAGCAUGUCAUUAUACAUAACAACUACAUCACUGGCUUCGAUAAGAAGAUCAAGCGAUUUCGUGAUUUUGGCCUCUGGCUUGUGGAUGAUCAUGCCCACGAGUCUCCCCUCGGCGGACUAUAAGCACUAGGGGCAAAUAUGUCAUCUUCCGAUUCUUGCUACUGAUGCUGCUUCGCCAAAUCACGGCACCGCAUGGUGACCAGCAGGGCCAUGACACAAGCCGUGGUUCAUGAGCUUUUGCUGGGCUGCAGGUUUACUCGACCAGGCUAGGGUUCAGAUUGAUAUCAUGGCGCUUGAAGCAGCCGGUCCGGGCAGGGUUUGGCCUAAACACUAAGCUGACAUGGACCCGAACUGUCUGCACCUCUUGUUCUCACCGUGGGCAUAUGAGAGUGGGCAUAUGAGAAUGGGCAUUAGACCCCGCCCGGUAUGGAAUACUUUCUCAAUUUGCUUUUCGGAGAGGUAUAUAUCUUCUUUUAAUGUGAAACCUUUAUACCUUUAUAUGUGGCUCCACCUACCUAUAAAACAUGUGAUUUUAGACGAUUAGGAUGGUUGGGAUAGUGACUGCUAAUUGCCAUCCACUUCGAUGGAUGGUUGAGAUAUUUUGAUCAUGAUGUCAUGUGUUUUAUUUUUAAUUUUUUAUUUAAAUUAUCUUGACAUGAAAUUUGGA